rnacentral:rRNA from 1 species
UUGAACGCUGGCGGCAGGCCUAACACAUGCAAGUCGAACGGUAACAGGAAGCAGCUUGCUGCUUUGCUGACGAGUGGCGGACGGGUGAGUAAUGUCUGGGAAACUGCCUGAUGGAGGGGGAUAACUACUGGAAACGGUAGCUAAUACCGCAUAACGUCGCAAGACCAAAGAGGGGGACCUUCGGGCCUCUUGCCAUCGGAUGUGCCCAGAUGGGAUUAGCUAGUAGGUGGGGUAAAGGCUCACCUAGGCGACGAUCCCUAGCUGGUCUGAGAGGAUGACCAGCCACACUGGAACUGAGACACGGUCCAGACUCCUACGGGAGGCAGCAGUGGGGAAUAUUGCACAAUGGGCGCAAGCCUGAUGCAGCCAUGCCGCGUGUAUGAAGAAGGCCUUCGGGUUGUAAAGUACUUUCAGCGGGGAGGAAGGGAGUAAAGUUAAUACCUUUGCUCAUUGACGUUACCCGCAGAAGAAGCACCGGCUAACUCCGUG